rnacentral:rRNA from 1 species
AAAGGGGCUUCGGUCCUGAGUAGAGUGGCGAACGGGUGAGUAACACGUGGGUGAUCUACCUUCGAGUGGGGGAUAACGUUCCGAAAGGAACGCUAAUACCGCAUGACGUUCUGGGUUUAAAGACCUGGAAACCAAAGCCGGGGACCGCAAGGCCUGGCGCUUGGAGAGGAGCCCGCGUCCGAUUAGCUAGUUGGCGGGGUAAUGGCCCACCAAGGCGACGAUCGGUAGCCGGCCUGAGAGGGCGGACGGCCACACUGGAACUGAGACACGGUCCAGACUCCUACGGGAGGCAGCAGUGGGGAAUUGUUCACAAUGGGCGCAAGCCUGAUGACGCAACGCCGCGUGGGGGAUGAAGGUCUUCGGAUCGUAAACCCCUGUCGAAUGGGACGAAAGACCCGGGAGCUAAUCAUUCCGGGAGUGACGGUACCGUUAAAGGAAGCCACGGCUAACUCUGUGCCAGCAGCCGCGGUAAUACAGAGGUGGCAAGCGUUGUUCGGAAUUACUGGGCGUAAAGGGCGCGUAGGCGGCCUUCUAAGUCAGACGUGAAAUCCCCCGGCUUAACCUGGGAACUGCGUCUGAUACUGGGAGGCUUGAGUAUGGGAGAGGGAUGUAGAAUUCCAGGUGUAGCGGUGAAAUGCGUAGAUAUCUGGAGGAAUACCGGUGGCGAAGGCGGCAUCCUGGACCAUAACUGACGCUGAGGCGCGAAAGCUAGGGGAGCAAACGGGAUUAGAUACCCCGGUAGUCCUAGCCCUAAACGAUGAAUACUUGGUGUGGCGGGUAUCGAUCCCUGCCGUGCCGAAGCUAACGCAUUAAGUAUU